CUUUUGUUAUAAUGUUGGGUCAGAAGCAGGUCCCAGAAGAUAGAUUCUCUCUCUGACCUUCUGCUGCCUUCCUUUCACCUGCUGCUUUUUCUCCCCAAGGCAGGAAUCAUCUCCAGCUUUUCUGUUUUAGAGACUGACCUAAAAAAAUUCUCUGACCUACCUUGUCUGAUUUUAGGUCACAAGGCACUCAUUUGAAAAGAGAUCCUGAGUCAUACCUUGGAGGAAGAAAUGCUAUACGGAAAGUUGUCAGUCAUGUCUAUCCAAUAAAGCCUCCAUAAAAGGCACAAGAGGACAGGGUUUGGGGAGCUUUUGGAUAGAUGAACACAUAGAGACUUACAGGAAGGUGGAAGGUAAACAAAAA